rnacentral:rRNA from 1 species
GACAGAGGAUGCAAGCGUUAUCCGGAAUGAUUGGGCGUAAAGCGUCUGUAGGUGGCUUUUUAAGUCUGCCGUCAAAUCCCAGGGCUUAACCCUGGACAGGCGGUGGAAACUACCAAGCUGGAGUAAGGUAGGGGUAGAGGGAAUUCCUGGUGUAGCGGUGAAAUGCGUAGAGAUCAGGAAGAACACCGGUGGCGAAAGCGCUCUGCUGGGCCGCAACUGACACUAAUGGACGAAAGCUAGGGGAGCGAAUGGG